rnacentral:hammerhead_ribozyme from 1 species
GCAUUGAUGAAGAGUCCCAAAAGCUAGGACGAAACAGUCGUCCAAUGC